rnacentral:rRNA from 1 species
GGGGGGGGCAAGCGUUGUUCGGAAUUACUGGGCGUAAAGGGCUCGUAGGCGGCCAACUAAGUCAGACGUGAAAUCCCUCGGCUUAACCGGGGAACUGCAUCUGAUACUGGAUGGCUUGAGUUCAGGAGAGGGAUGCGGAAUUCCAGGUGUAGCGGUGAAAUGCGUAGAUAUCUGGAGGAACACCGGUGGCGAGGGCGGCAUCCUGGACCGACACUGACGCUGAGGAGCGAAAGCCAGGGGAGCAAACGGG